AUAACAGAAAACCACAAAGGAUAUUAAAGAACAGCUACCUAAAGACAAUUACUGAAAAUGGGGGGAAUGGAAGGGAUUAAAUUGCUUAAGAACAGGAGUUGAACGAUGUUAAACAAUACUUAAGAAAUGGAACAUAUUAAGAGAAGAAGAAACUACUAACUGCAAAUACGGUGAAACAUAGAUAAUGGACCAUCUACUAUGAUUUCGUCUAAUAGAAACCACUUGUUAUAAAAAUCACUUACA